GACGAACGCUGGCGGCGUGCUUAACACAUGCAAGUCGAACGGAAAGGCCCUGCUUUUGUGGGGUGCUCGAGUGGCGAACGGGUGAGUAACACGUGAGUAACCUGCCCUUGACUUUGGGAUAACUUCAGGAAACUGGGGCUAAUACCGGAUAGGAGCUCCUGCUGCAUGGUGGGGGUUGGAAAGUUUCGGCGGUUGGGGAUGGACUCGCGGCUUAUCAGCUUGUUGGUGGGGUAGUGGCUUACCAAGGCUUUGACGGGUAGCCUGCCUGAGAGGGUGACCGGCCACAUUGGGACUGAGAUACGGCGCAGACUCCUACGGGAGGCAGCAGUGGGGAAUAUUGCACAAUGGGCGGAAGCCUGAUGCAGCAACGCCGCGUGCGGGAUGACGGCCUUCGGGUUGUAAACCGCUUUCGCAGGUGACGAAGCGUGAGUGACGGUAAUGGGUAAAGAAGCAACGGCUAACUACGUG
rnacentral:rRNA from 1 species